rnacentral:rRNA from 2 species
UACGUAGGGCGCGAGCGUUGUCCGGAAUUAUUGGGCGUAAAGAGCUCGUAGGCGGCUUGUCACGUCUGCUGUGAAAACGCGGGGCUUAACUCCGCGCUUGCAGUGGGUACGGGCAGGCUUGAGUAUAGUAGGGGAGACUGGAAUUCCUGGUGUAGCGGUGGAAUGCGCAGAUAUCAGGAGGAACACCGAUGGCGAAGGCAGGUCUCUGGGCUAUAACUGACGCUGAGGAGCGAAAGCAUGGGGAGCGAACAGG